rnacentral:rRNA from 1 species
AUUGAACGCUGGCGGCAGGCCUAACACAUGCAAGUCGAACGGUAACAGGAAGCAGCUUGCUGCUUUGCUGACGAGUGGCGGACGGGUGAGUAAUGUCUGGGAAACUGCCUGAUGGAGGGGGAUAACUACUGGAAACGGUAGCUAAUACCGCAUAACGUCGCAAGACCAAAGAGGGGACCUUCGGGCCUCUUGCCAUCGGAUGUGCCCAGAUGGGAUUAGCUAGUAGGUGGGGUAACGGCUCACCUAGGCGACGAUCCCUAGCUGGUCUGAGAGGAUGACCAGCCACACUGGAACUGAGACACGGUCCAGACUCCUACGGGAGGCAGCAGUGGGGAAUAUUGCACAAUGGGCGCAAGCCUGAUGCAGCCAUGCCGCGUGUAUGAAGAAGGCCUUCGGGUUGUAAAGUACUUUCAGCGGGGAGGAAGGGAGUAAAGUUAAUACCUUUGCUCAUUGACGUUACCCGCAGAAGAAGCACCGGCUAACUCCGUG